UGGGUAACCCAAGCCUCGGCAGGUACAGUUCCUCCCUCAGGGCCCAGGACACAGAGAGCAUACAAUAGACAUUAGCUGCUGUGGUCUCUUGAUUUCAAGCCCAGUGCAGAUGCAUCUGACUUAUGAAACUUCAGUGACACCUGCUCUGUGCCAGACACCGAAGAUGGAGCAGUGAACAGCGCUGACCCAGCCUGUCCUCCUGUUGCCUGCAGGCCAGAUGGAGUCUCGCUUGUCACCAGGCUGGAGUACAGUGGCGUGAUCUCAGCUCACUGCAACCUCCGCCUCCCAGGUUCAAGCGAUUCUCCUGCCUCAGCCUCCCAAGUAGCUUGGAUUACAGAUGUGUGCCACCACGCCCUGUUAAUUUUUUUUUGUUUGUUUUGUUUUGUUUUUUGUUUUUUGUUUUUGAGAUGGAGUCUUGCUCUGUCGCCCAGGCUGGAGUGCAGUGGCCCUGAUCUCGGCUCACCGCAAGCUCCACCUCCCGGGUUCACGCCAUUCUCCUCCUGGGCAACAUAGUGAGACUCUGUCACAAAUAAAUAAAUAAAUAAAUAAAUAAGGUGAGGAGAAAAAAAUACCAUCUCUGUCUUCACAGAACUUAUAGUUUGGGAGGGGAGAAUCCUACAAGUAAAUUAAAAAUCUCAGCUGAGAUGAUGCAAAGAA
rnacentral:lncRNA from 1 species